rnacentral:rRNA from 1 species
ACGUACACUCCUACGGGAGGCAGCAGUGGGGAAUAUUGGACAAUGGGCGCAAGCCUGAUCCAGCCAUGCCGCGUGAGUGAUGAAGGCCCUAGGGUUGUAAAGCUCUUUUGUGCGGGAAGAUAAUGACGGUACCGCAAGAAUAAGCCCCGGCUAACUUCGUGCCAGCAGCCGCGGUAAUACGAAGGGGGCUAGCGUUGCUCGGAAUCACUGGGCGUAAAGGGUGCGUAGGCGGGUCUUUAAGUCAGGGGUGAAAUCCUGGAGCUCAACUCCAGAACUGCCUUUGAUACUGAAGAUCUUGAGUUCGGGAGAGGUGAGUGGAACUGCGAGUGUAGAGGUGAAAUUCGUAGAUAUUCGCAAGAACACCAGUGGCGAAGGCGGCUCACUGGCCCGAUACUGACGCUGAGGCACGAAAGCGUGGGGAGCAAACAGGAUUAGAAACCCUAGUAGUCCC